UCCACUGUGCACCCAGCAGCACAGCACGGCACAAAUAUAUUUUUAGGAAACCUUCCAGCUUAUGCAAAUACGGUCUUCUGUCGUACCCCAUUGCCUUCUUCCGAGAAUACAGUUGCCAAGAAGAAAAGUAACAUUCACAACAUCCUUGCCUUUAAAGGAAGACGAGAUUUGAUUCACAGAUGUGCCAGUCCCUGGGAUGCAAAGAUGAAUUGGAAUGCUUCUGCACUCAAGGUGCUCACAGGCUAGUAAGAGUAGGAGAUGCGCAAGCAAGUAGGUGCAAAGGUAUGUUAUAGAUUCUCUCAUGGAAUUCUGCACAAGGACUUGAAUAAAAUUCUCUUGAGGGGAGAGAAGAAGAUAAUAGGUCAAGAAAGCCUCCUUAGAAGGGAUUGAAAAUCAAAUAGAUAUUUGUCAGACAGGUGUACCAGGACAGAAGAGGGAGCCAGAUGGUCUCUCAGAAAG